rnacentral:rRNA from 1 species
GACGAACGCUGGCGGCGUGCUUAACACAUGCAAGUCGAACGGAAAGGCCCUUCGGGGUACUCGAGUGGCGAACGGGUGAGUAACACGUGGGUGAUCUGCCCUGCACUUUGGGAUAAGCCUGGGAAACUGGGUCUAAUACCGAAUAGGACCACGCGCUUCAUGGUGUGUGGUGGAAAGCUUUUGCGGUGUGGGAUGGGCCCGCGGCCUAUCAGCUUGUUGGUGGGGUAAUGGCCUACCAAGGCGACGACGGGUAGCCGGCCUGAGAGGGUGACCGGCCACACUGGGACUGAGAUACGGCCCAGACUCCUACGGGAGGCAGCAGUGGGGAAUAUUGCACAAUGGGCGCAAGCCUGAUGCAGCGACGCCGCGUGAGGGAUGACGGCCUUCGGGUUGUAAACCUCUUUCAAUAGGGACGAAGCGCAAGUGACGGUACCUAUAGAAGAAGCACCGGCCAACUACGUGCCAGCAGCCGCGGUAAUACGUAGGGUGCGAGCGUUGUCCGGAAUUACUGGGCGUAAAGAGCUCGUAGGUGGUUUGUCGCGUUGUUCGUGAAAACUCACAGCUUAACUGUGGGCGUGCGGGCGAUACGGGCAGACUAGAGUACUGCAGGGGAGACUGGAAUUCCUGGUGUAGCGGUGGAAUGCGCAGAUAUCAGGAGGAACACCGGUGGCGAAGGCGGGUCUCUGGGCAGUAACUGACGCUGAGGAGCGAAAGCGUGGGGAGCGAACAGGAUUAGAUACCCUGGUAGUCCACGCCGUAAACGGUGGGUACUAGGUGUGGGUUCCUUCCUUGGGAUCCGUGCCGUAGCUAACGCAUUAAGUACCCCGCCUGGGGAGUACGGCCGCAAGGCUAAAACUCAAAGGAAUUGACGGGGGCCCGCACAAGCGGCGGGGCAUGUGGAUUAAUUCGAUGCAACGCGAAGAACCUUACCUGGGUUUGACAUGCACAGGACGCCGGCAGAGAUGUCGGUUCCCUUGUGGCCUGUGUGCAGGUGGUGCAUGGCUGUCGUCAGCUCGUGUCGUGAGAUGUUGGGUUAAGUCCCGCAACGAGCGCAACCCUUGUCCUAUGUUGCCAGCGGGUUAUGCCGGGGACUCGUAGGAGACUGCCGGGGUCAACUCGGAGGAAGGUGGGGAUGACGUCAAGUCAUCAUGCCCCUUAUGUCCAGGGCUUCACACAUGCUACAAUGGCCGGUACAAAGGGCUGCGAUGCCGUGAGGUGGAGCGAAUCCUUUCAAAGCCGGUCUCAGUUCGGAUCGGGGUCUGCAACUCGACCCCGUGAAGUCGGAGUCGCUAGUAAUCGCAGAUCAGCAACGCUGCGGUGAAUACGUUCCCGGGCCU